AGCUUCUAAUGAUGAUCAACAAGGGACUUAAUACUGAUGUGUGAUGUCACCUUCUUUAUUCUGAAUGUGC